AUACUUACCUGGCAAGGGAAAUACCGUGAUCAAGAAGGCGGUUCACCCAGGGCGAGGCUCAGCCAUUGCACUCCGGCUGUGCUGACACCUGCGGAUUUCCCAAAUGUGGAAAUCUCGAUUGCAUAAUUUAUGGUAGUGGGGGACUGCGUUCGCGCUCUCCCCUG
rnacentral:snRNA from 8 species